rnacentral:rRNA from 1 species
GACGAACGCUGGCGGCGUGCUUAACACAUGCAAGUCGAACGGAAAGGCCCUGCUUUUGUGGGGUGCUCGAGUGGCGAACGGGUGAGUAACACGUGAGUAACCUGCCCUUGACUUUGGGAUAACUUCAGGAAACUGGGGCUAAUACUGGAUAGGAGCUCCUGCUGCAUGGUGGGGGUUGGAAAGUUUCGGCGGUUGGGGAUGGACUCGCGGCUUAUCAGCUUGUUGGUGGGGUAGUGGCUUACCAAGGCUUUGACGGGUAGCCGGCCUGAGAGGGUGACCGGCCACAUGGGGACUGAGAUACGGCCCAGACUCCUACGGGAGGCAGCAGUGGGGAAUAUUGCACAAUGGGCGGAAGCCUGAUGCAGCAACGCCGCGUGCGGGAGGACGGCCUUCGGGUGGUAAACCGCUUUCGCCUGUGACGAAGCGUGAGUGACGGGAAUGGGUAAAGAAGCACCGGCUAACUACGU